GCUGGGCAUGGUGGCACAUGCCUGUAAGCCCUGCUCCUGGGGCAGCUGAGAUCACUGGAUCGCUUGAGCUCAGGAGUUCUGGGCUGCAGUGCGCUAUGUCGAUCGGGUGUCUGCACUAAGUUCAGCAUCAAUAUGGUGAUCCGUGGGGAGCUUGGGGUUACCAGGUUGCCUAAGGAGGGGUGAACCGGCCCAGGCUGGAAACAGAGCAGGUCAAAG
rnacentral:sRNA from 1 species